GUGUUUUAAAAUUGACUUCUUUUUUUCUUGUAAACAAUUUUUCUCUCAGCUUGUGUGCAAAGUGCUUGAUGGUGUGUUUGUAGCAUUGUAGACAUCUCUCCAGUGCAUAAAUUAUUAGGAGAUUUAUAUCAGAUUUUGAAUCCAUAAAUAUGUAACAGAACAGAACUCCUAUAUCAUUCGCCUCAUCUCCACGAAUGCUAUCGCAGGUUCUCCAAAGCCUUCAGAGCGACAGCGACAAGUCUCAUCCUCUACUGAAUGUCUGUGUGUUGUGGUUUUUCUUUUUUCGUACAGCUAAUUCGAAAUGAGUCUCUGUUUAUCAAAUGUUCUUCUAAGGUAUUUUUCCAAGGCUACUAAGCCUUUGACUGAUAUACCAUCUCCUCCAUCUUGGCCUCUUGUUGGACAUGCCCAUCUUUUUACGAACCGAGGACCAUACAGCUUUGAACAACUUCCAGAAGCUGUGGCAGACUUGACUGAAAAGUAUGGUCCUAUCUUUCGUUUGAAAUUGGGACCUCAAGAUAUGAUAGUGACAACUGAUGCUGAAAAUACCUGCACAAUGUUCAGAAAUGAAGGGAUGUAUCCACAAAGACCUGCAUUUCCGGCUCUCUAUCAUCUUCGGAAGAAAGAGUUCGGCUCUGUUGGUCUUACACCCAGCAAUGGGAAAGAAUGGCAUCAUUUUCGACCAGCAGUUAACCCUCUUCUGAAACCUGCUACUCUCAAGCCAUAUGUAUCGCUGCUGGAAGAAGUUGCCUCUGAUUUUGUAGACUACAUCGAGCGAAAUGUUUUAACCUGUCGAACUUUGUUUGAUAUUAGUAGUCAUUUGUCAAAAUUCAGUGUUGAAGCUGUUUCCGUAGUUUGUCCAGGGAUAAAGUACUCUGUCCUGUCACCUUCGCCAACAGCUGAAGCGAUGAAGAUUGUGGAUGCAAAUCAAGCUUUUUUGGACGGACUCUACCAAACGUUGAUGGGAGCACCUCUUUGGAAAGUUUGGAAAACAAAACCCUACCUGCAGAUAGAGCAUGCACAUCAGAUAUUUUAUGACUCGUUAAAAGAUGAACUUGAUGUUGUCCGGGCAAAGCAUGCGUCUGGAUCACUCAAGGAUUCACCAAUUAUGGAGCACCUAUUUUCCUGUCCAAAUCUAACUGUGAAAGAUCAGUUUAUUGUAGCCAUGGAAUUAUUCACUGGAGCAAUCGAUGCUACAGUGACAACAAUGACAAUGCUGUUGCACUAUCUAGCAAACAAUAAGAAAUGUCAAGAGGUAGCCUACGAAAAUGCAAAAGCGGACAAUUUUCGAUUUUUCACAGCGUGUAUAAAGGAAACUCUUCGCCUAUCACCCACCUCUGUCGCCAAUGGCAGAAUCUUAGCCGCAGAUGCUGUCAUUGGGGGAUAUCUUAUUCCGGCUGGGAAAUUCGUAACUUCGUUUCAUCCAGUGAUGGGGCUUUCGGAGAAGUAUUUUACGGAUCCCCAUGAAUUCCGGCCAGAAAGAUGGUUGAAAGAAAAUGAAACUGAAAAAAGUCAUCCUUUUGCUUCACUUCCCUUUGGAUUUGGAUCGAGGAUGUGUCCUGGAAAACGUUUCGCAGAACUGGAGAUGACAAUCUUACUGAAAGCGAUAUUGAAAAAGUAUGAGUUAGAAGAUGAUGGCAACCCAGCGCCUAUCGAAAUGGUGGUCAGAAUGAAUAGGAUUCCCAACCGCAAAGUUAAUGUCCGAUUCGUCCCUCGAUCCUGAUACCAGUCUCGUUUUACAAAAUGUGCAGUCCAGAUCGAUUACCUUUUGAUGAGUAUCAAACCUCAAUAUGUGUCAGAAUCUGAGUGGAUUGCAUUCCCAGCAUUUCGGUCAUCAGAGAUGUAUUGUACGCUGUGAUCAAAGUUACCUGUCUUCGCUCUUGUCCUAUCCUCUUGUUGAAAUCAUCAAAAAACUCAUCGAGGCCUAUGCAGAACAUUAUAACAAGCUGGUCAACAAACGCGAAGGUAUGACACGCUACCAUGUUGAUCAUAAGGACGAGGAAGCCAAUCCACACCUCGAAUUCAACGUGCAUAAAUACUUGUGGAAAUCGCGUGACACAGUAGUGCUUCAUAAUUUCUGUCGAGUCUUUCUUCACCGUAAUGAGGCCCGUUAUCAAAGAGCUGAUAUGCUCCACUGAAAAUUUAGAAAUGUAUGCAAUUUAGCCUGAAAGUUAUUUUUGAAAAUUUUGACAGAAUUAAAGUAAAUUAAAAGUACCCCAUACAUUUGAAACAGAAAAUUUUAAUUAUUUCAAAAAUAGAGCUUGGUUUUAAAAUUGGCUCCUUUAAAUAAAAGAAAUAGGUAAUAAAAUGUGCAAGUUUGUAAUUCCUUAAUGUCAUGACACUUCUAGAGCUCUCAAAGUCAAAAGUGAAGGUAGACCGAUACUCACCAAAAGUGACAGCAAUUAUGGAUAAUGUUAGCACAUUGUAUUUGUAGCUUAAAUAUUUUCGAUGUCCGUAGUAUGUCUCUAGCACUUCCCAUUUUUUUAUCAGUUCUGGCCAUUUCAUGGACAAGCGAAGAAACUGAGUCAUGGCAAUCGUGGAUACUCCAAAGAAAAAGAUCGUGCCUGGAUUGAAAUUAAGAAAAGUUGAUUUAACAAUUUUAGGAAGGAAUUCAAUACCACCUCCUUCUUUUUCACCCUCUAUUGCAAGGCGUCCUCUCUCUUCAAUGGACACCUUGUAGCCAAAAAAUUGACCUCACCAUUUGAAAAAGAAAACUUCAGUAAAUCGAUUCAGUCUUUUCAGUCGAUUCAAUUUCAGUCAAUAGAUCUGAAUGAUAUUUAUGUUCAAAAUUUGCAGAAAAGCAGCUGGUCGGCCAAGCAGAAUUUGUUUUUUUUUUAGAGAAAUCUGUGUCACGUUACUAUUUGGACCCUUUGUUAAAUCUAAAACACAGAGGGUCAAUUUUACCGGGCCAAGUCCAGUGAUGUUUGCCACUCAUUACUCUGCAUCGGUUUUUAGAUUACGAGAAUGGAAUUACCUCCUUUAAGAAUAUUGGCUCCUGUAUCCCGCAACCAUAAUAUACUAGCGAGUGUCAUCGCCGAGUUACAGAGGAUGGCCCCAAUUGAGAAAGCAACCCGGAAACUGAGCCAUCUAAAUUCCUCGUGGUUCAAGGGUAUGAGACACAUCCAUUGGCCCAGGAAGAUAAACAGACUAGACGCUUGGCGAAACGAAUCUUUUGGGCAGUACUCCACAUCGUCCCAUUCCUCGAUCCGUGGUGUGUCUAAAUCCACGGCAUUGGUACUUUUCGGUUUGAUUUUUGCUUUACCUAAAAAGCGAAUGAGCUAAGAUUUACUACUUGCUGAAAACCAUUCUCCUGAAAGUUUCAUCAAUGUUAUUUGUUAAGUUUGAUCUCAUGAUGUUCGUAAAAAAAAUCCACGUCUUAUUCUGUAUAGAACUUUGAUUGCAUUUUGAUGAUUUCUCAUCAAUUUGGAUUUCCAUUUGCUGAUCUAAAAUGAAUUGCUGAUCAAACUACACAUAUUUCGAGCUUGCUCUCAUUCUUCUCCGGUCAUUGAUUUCUUUUACUGUGAUGAUACCAUAAUACAGGUAAUCAUAAGUUCAGGGCCCAUUUUCACUUAAUAACGUUUUCUUUCGUAGUCUUUCUAACAAUGAGGCAAAGAUGAAAAUGGGAUAUUUUUCUGUUUCUUUCAAAUUAAAUAGACUAAUUUAAUAUGAGCCCUUCAAUCUUGAGAAGGCUCUAAUGUUUUAACAUUUUCUACUGUCAGGGUCGGAUUCACAUUUUUAGCGCCCUAGGCUAAACUUAAAAGUAGCCCUUAAAAGUAGGCGCUCUCGUGGGGGGGGGGGUUCCCCUAGAAGCCCCUCCCCUCCAGGUCAGAAGGAGGAUGUUAGGUGUCAAGAAAAUGUUCAAAUUCACUUUUAAAAAAACUUGAUUUCAAACAGUUUUGAGGUACAUUUUCGUUUGCAAGUUGGUUUUGGAAAAUAAAAAGUAACAAAAGACUCGUUAAAUUAAAAAAAAAAAAAUUCUCAAAGAUUUUGCGCCCCUCAGAAUGUUGCGCCCUAGGCUACAGCCUAUGUAGCCCAUUGGUAAAUCCGGCCAUGUCCACUGUAAAGAAAAAGGAACAAAUUGAAAGGAGCUCCUAAAAAUUUUAGGAAGAUUUUCCUAUUUUGUAUAUACAUCCAAUCCCACAGUCUAAAUUUGAAGUAUUUUUUAUUUUGUAUAUAUUUGGGAGGGUACUUUUUUAAAAAUUACUUUUAUGUGUACAUACUUGAUUAUGAUCUUAUUCUAUUUUCUACUUUUGAUUGAAUAAAGAAGGAUUUUUCUUUCCUCUUUCGUUAUCUAA